rnacentral:rRNA from 1 species
UCGGGAUAACCAGCCGAAAGGUUGGCUAAUACCGGAUAGAGCGCAUUCUUCGUAGAGGAGAGUGCGGGAAAUGAGGGCCGUAGCAAUACGGCUCUUGCACUGAGAUGAGCCUGCGUCUCAUUAGCUAGUUGGUAAGGUAAUGGCUUACCAAGGCUUUGAUGGGUAGCUGGUCUGAGAGGACGAUCAGCCACACUGGAACUGAAACACGGUCCAG